CCACUGCUCAAUGGAUAAAGCACAAAGCUCUUAACCUUGUGGAUGUGGGUUCAAGCCCCAUGGUGGG
rnacentral:tRNA from 1 species